rnacentral:rRNA from 1 species
AGAGUUUGAUCAUGGCUCAGAGCGAACGCUGGCGGCAGGCCUAACACAUGCAAGUCGAGCGCCCCGCAAGGGGAGCGGCAGACGGGAGAGUAACACGUGGGAACGUGCCCUUUGGUUCGGAACAACCCAGGGAAACUUGGGCUAAUACCGGAUACGUCCGUAAGGAGAAAGAUUUAUCGCCAAAGGAUCGGCCCGCGUCUGAUUAGCUAGUUGGUGAGGUAACGGCUCACCAAGGCGACGAUCAGUAGCUGGUCUGAGAGGAUGAUCAGCCUCACUGGGACUGAGACACGGCCCAGACUCCUACGGGAGGCAGCAGUGGGGAAUAUUGGACAAUGGGCGCAAGCCUGAUCCAGCCAUGCCGCGUGGAUGAUGAAGGCCCUAGGGUUGUAAAGUCCUUUCGGCGGGGAAGAUAAUGACGGUACCCGCAGAAGAAGCCCCGGCUAACUUCGUGCCAGCAGCCGCGGUAAUACGAAGGGGGCUAGCGUUGCUCGGAAUCACUGGGCGUAAAGCGCACGUAGGCGGCUUUUUAAGUCAGGGGUGAAAUCCUGGAGCUCAACUCCAGAACUGCCUUUGAUACUGAGAAGCUUGAGUCCGGGAGAGGUGAGUGGAACUGCGAGUGUAGAGGUGAAAUUCGUAGAUAUUCGCAAGAACACCAGUGGCGAAGGCGGCUCACUGGCCCGGUACUGACGCUGAGGUGCGAAAGCGUGGGGAGCAAACAGGAUUAGAUACCCCUGUAGUCC